UUGGUGAGUUAGCCGGCUCUUGCACCCGCUGAAUCAUGAAUAACUUUUCGAUAAGCCCUCUCUUUCUCUCUCUUCCACACCCCUGCAACCCCGACCUCUCUCUACCCGAGCUCACACACUCUCUCUGUGCCCUAGCCACUACUCAAGUCCUCUCUCUCUCUAUGAGCUGAAACCCUCUGGAACCUCAAGGUCCCCCGCCCAGUUCCGGACUCUCUCUCUCUAGCUUAAGCCAUUAAAGAUAUCUCUGGUUAACAGAUACUCACUGGUGAAGCAUUCGUGGUGCGAUUUUAGUUGAAUUUAAGUUUCUGGUUUGGAAUCUUUCCGUGGAAGAAGAAGUUAAGGAGGCAGAUGUUGAAAGAGAAGAUACCUUCAUGAGCUUGGGCGUCUGUGAUCAAUUGGUUGAUGCCUGUGAUAAUUUGGGUUGGGGUUAAGAUUCAAAUUGAGUCCAUUCCUCAUGCCUAACAAGGAAAGGAUAUUAUUGGAUUGGCGCAAACUAGGUCCGGAAAGACUGAAGCUUUUGCACUCCCCAUUCUCCAAGCAUUAUUGGAGAAUCCCCAGGCUUUCUUUGCUUGCAUUCUUUCUCCUACGAGGUGGGUUCCACUUAUUUGAAUGUUUUCAUAUAAUUUAUUAUCUCACAUUUUCCAUUGUUUUAUUGAUUGGAUAAAUGUUGGUUUCUAUUGGUGGAAUCACUGCUACCAAUCCAAGGAGCUGGCCAUUCAAAAAUCUGAAUAGUUCAACGCUUUGGGAUCUGGAAUAGGAGUCAAAUGUGCAGUGGUAGGUUAUGCUGCAAUUGUUGUAUUUACUCGAAUGUAUUAUUUUCUUUGUGCAUGCCUCAAUGUUUUAAAAUCCGGUUCAGUGGGUCAGAUCAUUCAUCCACAGAUCUGUAUCGGAUCGGUGAAUGGGAUCGAGUCUGGAUUGGUCCAAAUCGAUCAUCAUCAUCAUCAUCCAAGCCUAAGCAAUGCAAUAAGCCCAAGCACCAACCUUAUAGAGUCUAACUUGACAACCGGGGAAAAUAUUUCAAGAAAGUCGACACCACCAACCUUAUGGAGUCUAACUU